rnacentral:lncRNA from 1 species
GUCCCCUGGGCUUCCUGCAGGGACCUGGAUUCUUAGUAUUUCAGGCUGCUGUCCCUUUUUUUUUUUCAUUUCCUUUUUGUUUUUGUUGUUGAUGUGACCGCGUGUCCACAACCCUGGGAUUCCCUCGCCCUCAGAUUCCAGAAUCCAAUUUCUUGGAUUUCAGUGUUUUUAAGGUGGGAGGUCUCGCUAUGCUUCCCAGGCUGGACUCAAAUUCCUGGGCUCAAGUGAUUCCCCCGCCUCAGCCUCCUGAGUAGCUGGGACUACAGAUAUGGCAUGUCAGUCUGGUGGUCUAGCCAGAGGAAGACUCCUGGAGCUGGUGAACUGUGCAUGGAUAUGCAGUCACGGGCAGCCCACCUCCUACUCCUCACCCUCCCUGUGCCUGUGAGGGUCUGCACUCACCCUCUUCCCACAUGCUGCUUCAAUGUUGAUAUCUUGAAGAGGUUCCAGCCUGGCAUGGUGGCUCACACCUGUAAUCCCAGCACUCUGGGAGUUCAAGGUGGGAGGAUUGCUUGAGCCCAGGAGUUCAAGAACAGCCUAGGCAACCUAGUGAGACCACAUCUCUACAAAAAAUUUAAAAAUUAGCUCAACGUGGUGGUGUGUGUCCAUAGUCCCAGCUACUCAGGAGACUGAGAUAGGAGGAUCACUGGAGCCCACAGGCUACAGUGAGCAAUGAUUGUGCCACUGCACUCUAGCCUGGGUGACAGAGCAAGACAUUGUCGCCCAGAAAAAACAAAAAGAGAAAAUAGAAGAGGUUCUUACUGUACAAUAGGACUUUUUUUUUUCUUUUUUGGAGUCAGAGUCUUGCUUUGUCACCCAGGCUGGAGUGCAAUCGCACGAUCUCAGCUCACUGCAGCCUCCGCCUCCUGGGUUCAAGCGAUUCUUCUGCCUCAGCAUCCUGAGUAGUUGGGGUUACAGGCAUGGGCCAGCACGCCCGGCUAAUUUUUAUAUUUUUAGUAGAUGGGGUUUCACCAUAUUGGCCAGGCUGGUCUUGAACUCCUGAUCUCAAGUGAUCUACCUGCCUCGGCCUCCCAAAGUGAUAGGAUCACAGGCGUGAGCCACCUCACCCAGCCACAAUAAGAGCUUUUUAAUGAGAAGAAGACACAAGUCUUGAUUGAGAAUUUCUCUUCCUGAGAGGAAGUACCAGCAUGUUAUGGACCUUAGCUGAUUUGUCUUUAAAAAUCUCAAGCUGUAAUAAUUCCCAGUUGCUCAGUGCACAGUGAAUGAGGCUGAUAUUUAAACAGAACGCCUCAAAGGCACCCGCUGUGUCCACACUUUCUCCCUGCCUGUCCUAUGCCUCUCCAGGUGAUGUCCAUCUUCUCCUUGAAGCCCUCUCUGGCUGCUCCAGUCCCUGAGCUUUCCUUCCUGCACUCAUACAGCAUGAGGAAGGCUCCAUCUUUUUCUAGAUGUGCUAUUUUUUUUAGCAUUUGCUGUGUGCACUUUAGAGGCUCAUUGCCUCUUUGAGACCAAGGAUGGCACUGUCCCUUCUCUCUAGUUGCUCUGAGUGCCAAGCACAGCCCUGAACACCAAAUACUUUGACUCUUCUGUGGCUACUCAACCCUCCUGGCUGUUCCUUCAUCACCCUGGACCGGCCCCCACUCCAGGGUCUUUGCACUUGCUCUCCCUCUGCUUAGAAAGCCCUUCUCCCUGCAAUCUGCAGGGGCUUGAUUACUCUUCUCUUUCAGGCCUUUGCUCAAAUGUCACCUCAUCAAUGCACCCUUCUCUGACCAUCCUAUUGAAUAUUCCAAAUCUUUUUUUUUUUUUUUUUUUU